AACGAACGCUGGCGGCAUGCCUAACACAUGCAAGUCGAACGAAGGCUUCGGCCUUAGUGGCGCACGGGUGCGUAACGCGUGGGAACCUGCCCCUCGGUUCGGAAUAACAGUUAGAAAUGACUGCUAAUACCGGAUGAUGACUUCGGUCCAAAGAUUUAUCGCCGAGGGAUGGGCCCGCGUAGGAUUAGCUAGUUGGGUGGGGUAAAGCCUACCAAGGCGACGAUCCUUAGCUGGUCUGAGAGGAUGAUCAACCACACUGGGACUGAGACACGGCCCAGACUCCUACGGGAGGCAGCAGUGGGGAAUAUUGGACAAGUGGGCGAAAGCCUGAUCCAGCAAUGCCGCGUGAGUGAUGAAGGCCUUAGGGUUGUAAAGCUCUUUUACCAGGGAUGAUAAUGACAGUACCUGGAGAAUAAGCUCCGGCUAACUCCGUAG
rnacentral:rRNA from 1 species